GUGCUCUCUUCGCCAGCACAUAUACUAAAACUGGAAUAACAUAGAGAAGGUUAGCAUGGUCCCUGUGCAAAUUCAUGACCCAUUCCAUAUUUUU
ensembl:snRNA U6 U6 spliceosomal RNA